GGGGAUGUAGCUUAGUGGUAGAGCACUUGCCUAGCAUGCAUGAGGUCCUGGGUUCAAUCCCAGGCACCACCA